GACGUGAUCACAGACAGAGACAAAGAGCUGACCGAACAAUGGACAUCAGUUUGGAGGAUGUGGCCAAAAGUUACUUACUGGAUUCGUCUGCUCUGCUUCCUGCCUGCCUGACGUCAACUCCGCUGCCCCUCUCUGGAGCCCCUGCUUUGAACCAGCCGUGACCUCUGACCUUUGACCCGCUUACACUGUUUCGGCAGGUUAAACACUGGUCAAAGUGAUGAUAGAGGGAUAAAGAAAAGAAAAGGAUACAAGAAAGAUGGAGGGACAAAACAACGGAAUAAAGACGAAGACGGAGAAGACAAAAGCGUGAAACCAAACCAGGUGAGAGCAGAAAUAAGAGACAAAAGGGACCAGAAAAGGGAGCGGGAUAACAAAAAGAGAAAGAAGGAUGGAGAUGCAGAAGAAAUGAAAAGAAGGAUAGUAAAGAAGAAAGAAAAGAAGAAAAGAAAGAAAUGAAGUGCAGAUCAAUGGAGGGAAGAGAGGCCUAAGGUCAUAAAGAAAAGAUGGAAAGAAUGAUGGAGGGAUGAAAGAGAUGGAAGAGACUGAGCUGCAAACUGUUGGGAAAUAUCUCACACACACACACACACACACACACACACACACACACACAGUCUCUGAUAUAUUCCCCAGUGUCAGAGGAACAUUGAAAGUGUGAGGAAAU